GACGAACGCUGGCGGCGUGCCUAAUACAUGCAAGUAGAACGCACAGUUUAUACCGUAGCUUGCUACACCAUAAACUGUGAGUUGCGAACGGGUGAGUAACGCGUAGGUAACCUGCCUGGUAGCGGGGGAUAACUAUUGGAAACGAUAGCUAAUACCGCAUAAUAUUAAUUAUUGCAUGAUAAUUGAUUGAAAGAUGCAAUUGCAUCACUACCAGAUGGACCUGCGUUGUAUUAGCUAGUAGGUGAGGUAACGGCUCACCUAGGCGACGAUACAUAGCCGACCUGAGAGGGUGAUCGGCCACACUGGGACUGAGACACGGCCCAGACUCCUACGGGAGGUAGCAGUAGGGAAUCUUCGGCAAUGGACGAAAGUCUGACCGAGCAACGCCGCGUGAGUGAAGAAGGUUUUCGGAUCGUAAAGCUCUGUUGUAAGAGAAGAACGGGUGUGAGAGUGGAAAGUUCACACUGUGACGGUAUCUUACCAGAAAGGGACGGCUAACUACGUG
rnacentral:rRNA from 1 species